AGUUUAUCAUUCUAAAAUUUUUCCCGCACCCGGUCUUCUCAGAAUGAUAUUCAUCCGUCGCGAGGGGCAAUCGUCCGAAUACCAUUAAAAACGUCGCAUCCCGAACAGCUUAAGUGCUUCAGAAGAACGGAUACUAUAUUUAUUUAUAUCAUCAGGCCACUGGCUGACAAAGAACCGUUGAGGACAAGGCGGUUCACCCAAAGAGGCUUUUACUAAUCGGAUAGGAGCAAUGGACAUUCAUAUGACGACACUGUGGAAGCCGAGAAACAGAUCCAAAAUGCCGACUAAAUCAUUGAACCAGAUGGUUUAUUGACGAAGGAGCAAACUAUGUGGCCAAUUAUCAAUGUGCAUACGAACACAAGUUGGAAAUGAAAUAAAAAUAAACAUAUUUUCCAUGACAUAAAAA